rnacentral:rRNA from 1 species
CCGGCACGGGUGAGUAACACGUAUGCAAUCCACCUGUAACAGGGGGAUAACCCGGAGAAAUCCGGACUAAUACCCCAUAAUAUGGGCGCUCCGCAUGGAGAGCCCAUUAAAGAGAGCAAUUUUGGUUACAGACGAGCAUGCGCUCCAUUAGCCAGUUGGCGGGGUAACGGCCCACCAAAGCGACGAUGGAUAGGGGUUCUGAGAGGAAGGUCCCCCACAUUGGAACUGAGACGCGGUCCAA